rnacentral:rRNA from 1 species
UCCGUAGGUGAACCUGCGGAAGGAUCAUUAAUGAAUUGUAAGGACGCUCUUUUUAGAGGUCCGACCCAAAUCAUUUUCCUUUCUACACUGUGCACAUUACUACUUUUUUUACACCCCAUUUUUAUUAACACAUUAGUAUUAAGAAUGUAAAUCAGUCUCUUAAUUGAGCAUAAAAUAAAUAAAACUUUCAGCAACGGAUCUCUUGGCUCUCGCAUCGAUGAAGAACGCAGCGAAAUGCGAUACGUAAUGUGAAUUGCAGAAUUCAGUGAAUCAUCGAAUCUUUGAACGCACCUUGCACUCUUUGGUAUUCCGAAGAGUAUGUCUGUUUGAGUGUCAUGAAACUCUCAACCCCCCUGUUUUGUAAUGAAGCAGGCUGUGGGCUUGGUUUAUGGUUGUCUGUCGGCUUAACAGUCGGCUCAACUGAAAUAUACGAGCUACCCAUUUAUUUGAAAUAAGCGGUUUGACUUGGCGUAAUAAUCUAUUUCGCUGAGGACGCUUUAUUCGAAACUUAUUAAUAGUGGUGCUUCUAAUUCGUUUAAUAAACUACUUUAAGCUUUAGACCUCAAAUCAGUCAGGACUACCCGCUGAACUUAAGCAUAUCAAUAAGCGGAGGAAAAG